GACGAACGCUGGCGGCGUGCUUAACACAUGCAAGUCGAACGGUGACGAGGAGCUUGCUCCUCUGAUCAGUGGCGAACGGGUGAGUAAUACAUCGGAACGUGCCCGAUCGUGGGGGAUAACGGAGCGAAAGCUUUGCUAAUACCGCAUACGAUCUACGGAUGAAAGCAGGGGACCGCAAGGCCUUGCGCGGACGGAGCGGCCGAUGGCAGAUUAGGUAGUUGGUGGGAUAAAAGCUUACCAAGCCGACGAUCUGUAGCUGGUCUGAGAGGACGACCAGCCACACUGGGACUGAGACACGGCCCAGACUCCUACGGGAGGCAGCAGUGGGGAAUUUUGGACAAUGGGCGAAAGCCUGAUCCAGCCAUGCCGCGUGCAGGAUGAAGGCCUUCGGGUUGUAAACUGCUUUUGUACGGAACGAAAAGACUCCUUCUAAUAAAGGGAGUCCAUGACGGUACCGUAAGAAUAAGCACCGGCUAACUACGUG
rnacentral:rRNA from 1 species